GGGAGGGACUCUUAGACCCUGCCUGGCAUCCACAGAAGGCCCUGGUCCUGGAUCAGGACUGCACCGUGCUGGCGGAUCAGGAAGUGCGGCUGGAAAACAGGAUCACCUUCGAGCUCGAGCUGACGGCGCUGGAGCGCGUGGUACGAAUCUCAGCCAAGCCCACCAAGCGGCUGCAGGAGGCGCUGCAGCCCAUUCUGGAGAAGCACGGCUUGAGCCCGCUAGAGGUGGCGCUGCACCGGCCAGGCGAGAAGCAGCCUCUGGAUCUGGGGACGCUAGUGAGCUCGGUGGCGGCCCAGAGACUGGUUUUGGACACUCUUCCAGGUGUGAAGAUCUCCAAAGCCCGUGACAAAUCUCCCUGCCGCAGCCAGGUGAGCAAAAGGCGAGUGGCCUCUUCCACCCUCUGCUUCUCCCCUCCCGAUUUUGGCUCUGACCCCACAUUCUCGCAGGGCUGCCCACCUAGAACUCAGGACAAGGCCACCCAUCCCCCUCCAGCGUCCCCCAGUUCUCUGGUGAAGGUGCCCAGUAGUGCUACUGGAAAGCGGCAGACCUG
rnacentral:sRNA from 1 species